rnacentral:rRNA from 1 species
UCCUACGGGAGGCAGCAGUGGGGAAUAUUGCACAAUGGGGGGAACCCUGAUGCAGCCAUGCCGCGUGAAUGAAGAAGGCCUUCGGGUUGUAAAGUUCUUUCGGUGAUGAGGAAGGUGUUUUGUUUAAUAGACAAAGCAAUUGACGUUAGUCACAGAAGAAGCACCGGCUAACUCCGUGCCAGCAGCCGCGGUAAUACGGAGGGUGCGAGCGUUAAUCGGAAUAACUGGGCGUAAAGGGCACGCAGGCGGAUUGUUAAGUGAGAUGUGAAAGCCUCGGGCUUAACCUGGGAAUUGCAUUUCAGACUGGCAAUCUAGAGUAUUUUAGGGAGGGGUAGAAUUCCACGUGUAGCGGUGAAAUGCGUAGAGAUGUGGAGGAAUACCGAAGGCGAAGGCAGCCCCUUGGGAAUAUACUGACGCUCAUGUGCGAAAGCGUGGGGAGCAAACAGGAUUAGAUACCCUGGUAGUCC